rnacentral:rRNA from 1 species
UCGGGUCUAGUGGCGCACGGGUGCGUAACACGUGGGAAUCUGCCCUUGGGUUCGGAAUAACUCUCCGAAAGGAGUGCUAAUACCGGAUGAUGUCGAAAGACCAAAGAUUUAUCGCCCAGGGAUGAGCCCGCGUAGGAUUAGCUAGUUGGUGAGGUAAAGGCUCACCAAGGCGACGAUCCUUAGCUGGUCUGAGAGGAUGAUCAGCCACACUGGGACUGAGACACGGCCCAGACUCCUACGGGAGGCAGCAGUGGGGAAUAUUGGACAAUGGGCGAAAGCCUGAUCCAGCAAUGCCGCGUGAGUGAUGAAGGCCUUAGGGUUGUAAAGCUCUUUUACCCGGGAUGAUAAUGACAGUACCGGGAGAAUAAGCCCCGGCUAACUCCGUGCCAGCAGCCGCGGUAAUACGGAGGGGGCUAGCGUUGUUCGGAAUUACUGGGCGUAAAGCGCACGUAGGCGGCUUUGUAAGUUAGAGGUGAAAGCCUGGAGCUCAACUCC